rnacentral:rRNA from 1 species
GACAGAGGGUGCGAACGUUGUUCGGAAUUACUGGGCGUAAAGCGCGUGUAGGCGGCAACGCAAGUCGGGCGUGAAAUCCCACGGCUCAACCGUGGAAGUGCACUCGAAACUGCGUAGCUAGAGUACUGUAGGGGCAGGCGGAAUUCCGGGUGUAGCGGUGGAAUGCGUAGAGAUCCGGAGGAAGACCGGUGGCGAAGGCGGCCUGCUGGGCAGUUACUGACACUGAUGCGCGACAGCGUGGGGAGCAAACAGG